rnacentral:rRNA from 1 species
GACGAACGCUGGCGGCGUGCUUAACACAUGCAAGUCGAACGGAAAGGCCCUGCUUGCAGGGUACUCGAGUGGCGAACGGGUGAGUAACACGUGGGUGAUCUGCCCUGCACUUCGGGAUAAGCCUGGGAAACUGGGUCUAAUACCGGAUAGGAGCCAUUUUUAGUGUGAUGGUUGGAAAGUUUUUUCGGUGUAGGAUGAGCUCGCGGCCUAUCAGCUUGUUGGUGGGGUAAUGGCCUACCAAGGCGGCGACGGGUAGCCGGCCUGAGAGGGUGGACGGCCACAUUGGGACUGAGAUACGGCCCAGACUCCUACGGGAGGCAGCAGUGGGGAAUAUUGCACAAUGGGCGCAAGCCUGAUGCAGCGACGCCGCGUGGGGGAGGACGGCCUUCGGGUUGUAAACGCCUUUCGCUAGGGACGAAGCUUUUUGUGACGGUACCUAGAUAAGAAGCACCGGCUAACUACGUG